rnacentral:lncRNA from 1 species
GAGCAGUAUUACUGCCUCUCAGACUUGUUACAUAUUGAAAAAGUCUUGGAAAGCUCUUGGUUUUAUAUCGAGGUAGAGGUAUUUCGUGAGGGCAAAUGGGCUGCAGGGAGGGUGCUUUCAGUAAACUGUCUCUGAUAGAUUUAUAAUGCUCUAAGCUAAGUGAUACUUAAAAUGCGAGACCUAUUCCUGUGCUGUUAGAUAUUACAUACAGCUCUCAGGUAACAAUGGCCAUCUUCUUUUGGGCUUAUGCUACUCCCCCCUUUAGUAUUAUUAUCCACAAAUUCAACUUAUUAUACUGCUAUAUUUUAAUAUCUGUAUCUAUACUGUAUAUAUAUGACAUCUCACUGUGUUUGAACAAACACUUACUGAUGCAUACAUAUGCACACCCAGGGACUAUAUAGGUUUUCUGGAUCUAUACCUAGCUUCUGCUGACUUAUCCAUUCUGGCUUUCAGCCUCUCAUCUAUCACACUCUGCAGAGAUCUGGUGAGGAGGAAAUACAGAGUGUCACAGAGAGAACGGUUAGGCCAGAGAACAUUCUCAGCACACAUCAAUACCCUCCUCCUAUGACCCAGCUCUGCUCAGUUCAUCUGAUUUCUCAGUGAGUCACCAUUGUUCAUCUGCCAGGCUUCUCAUAAUUCUUGCUAACUCUUCAUGAAGUUAUAUUUCAGGGGAAUAGAUGUCAGGGGAGGAAGAGAAGCGAUUGCAGUUUCAUGAGAUGCCUAGGAAGGGAUUCUAGAACCAAUUUGUAAUAAUUCCUUUCUAAAUCUGGGUAGUGAGUAGCAGAUACUCUAAUAAUUUACACAUCUCUACACAUUUCAUUCUAUGACUUCAAGGGAACAAAGAGCAAGCCUGUGUGCCAGUGUAUCCCACCUAAUGCUGAGGUGCUUUCUCCCCUGGAGCGUUGAAAUGGACUUCAUUGUUUCUCACUGGCUUGCAGAAGCAGAAGCAUUAGGUGGGAGUCUCAGUGGGGUGUGGGCGUCUAUGACCCAGGUAGAUCUAUGCUUUGGGGCAGAUGUGCCUAUUGUUGAGCUGAGAUGGUCUUUCUAUUUUUCUGAGGCUUAACCAGAGAUGUGUUUUAUCUUUUAAAAAUAUCGCAGUCAUAAAUGUUUAUCGCCACUGCAGGCAUCAUGAAUUUUAAUGCUGUGAUGAGCAGAAGUCUUUGGGAGCUUCAUCUGGUCUCACUGGAUGACAGCGAUGUUUCUUGCCCGUUAUUCCCCAGGCUGCUGUUUCAUUUCUUGAACGGCCAUUGCUCUUAUACAGUUAUUGAAGAAGGUUUGAAGUAAAGCAUUCCAUUGUUGAAUAGCUGGGAAUAAACAGCCUAAGAAAUUUCAGAGGACUUAACGAAUUCUCAUUAAGCCCUAAUAUCCUAAGUCCAGCUCCCCGGAAAAUCGCCAGUGUUGUCUGUUGAGUGAGGGAUACAGAGGUGACAGAGGCAAUCCUUGCCUCCUAAGGGAAAAUAUGCAUGUGCACAGAUGAUGUGGGAAACCGUGCAUAAGUACAGGACUUACAGGCAAGGACGGUUCCUUCUGACUGAGGAAAGCCUUAAGACUCUGACACAGACUUGUUUACUCGUUCAUGUAGUAAAUACUAGGCAUGUGCUGUGGGCUUCCACACAAAGGCAGAACAAAAAGCUGGCACAUGAAUACCACCUCCAACGCAGUCACCAGGCAAGCCAGCUGCCAUGCAUCAGUCCCCGGUAGACUUCUCUCCAUGUCUGUGAAGAUCAUGGUGAGCCUGGCAGUCCUUCAUGAAGGGCAUGUGUGGUGGGAGUUAACAUCUGUUGUAUAACCUAAUAGAGCCAUACAGGGUGCUGUUUUAGUAACAAAGCAAGAGCAAUGCUCAAGAGACCAGAACAAAGAGGUGAUGUUGGGUAGGCGGUGAUUAGCAUGAGGUGAUGAGAAAUUCUCAGAUUGGGGUAUAUAUCUUUCUCGGUGGUAAGUGGCCUUCUGUGGCCACUCUGAGGUCCCAGGGUGUGAGAAAGGAAAACCAAGUAUGAGUCGACGGGUUUCAAAUUCCAUCUUGUCUAAUGCUGUUUGCCAGUGCCUAAGUAAGAUAAAGGGCUGACGGAAGAAGACCACGGGGUCCAGUGUAGCCUUUUGUUUGGGCAUCCAAAUGGAGAUAGAUGGUUGGAUGUGUCAAUUUGUGUUUUAGUGGUCAAGAUACCAACUUAAAACUUUUGGAAAGCAUUUAAAGUGAUGAGACUUGAGAUCUCAAGGUAGUAAGAAUAGAUGGAAAAAUAAUAUAAAGUACCAGUAACAGAGAGGGGCUUUCUAGUGCAAUGAGGUCAGACAGGCGAGGAAGCAGCAGAGAAGGGGGAGGAGCAGCCAUGAGGUAGAGGUAGAGGAUGAUGAAGAGAGCAGGAUAGCCUGGAAAACAGGACAGAAGGUAUUUCACAGGAGUAAGAGUUACUGUUCCCGUAUGUACUGAGAAAGGCUGUGGGCCUUUCACAUCAGCUCCUGCAGAGUUGAAAGAAAGUGCGAGGGGUAGCGAAGGUAGAAAGUGUAGAAGUUGUUUUCAUGAUUUUUGUGAUCUGAGCAUGCAGGCUUUGUACCUAGAGAUGGUUUCACCAG